CCCGCUCUCUCCUUCUCUCUCUUUCUACCCUCCCUCCCUCACCCAGCAAGUUUUCCCCCCCAGGCCCACAGCACCCAACCCAGAACAAUCUCCAAGGAACUUUGUCCAUGGUGGGUGUCACCGUAAAACAAGUGUCUUGUGUAAAUCCAACAGGGACUCGAGCAUGGGACCGUGCAGCGUUUGGCUCACAGCUGGACGAUAUGAAUAAGGCAUCACGUUCAGACCGGCUUCCUCCGGCUCUGCUCCCAGGUCGCCUUUAAUCAUCUGCAGGCUGUCUCAGAGGCUGAACUUACUUAACCUCAAGUAUCACCUGAUCUGAGCCGAAUAUUCUGUCGAGAGCACCAGAGCAUCUUCCCGAACUGAUGCCUUACCAACAUUAUUAACCAAAAAGUCAUCAAACCCGGAGAGAAACCAUCUCUGACUAAAUCAGACUGUCCAAGCAUGCAUGGCUGAGGUCAGGAGGAAAGUGCCACAGAAGGCCGCCACGCCCCGACAACGUCCACACAUGGACCAGACAACACAGAGCAUCAAUCACGACCCAGUGGGACAUGGAGCAGAUGAGGAAGUCCUUUCCCCUCAAAACAAUGAGGUCCCUAAACUGCCACCCCAUUAAGACGACACAAUGGUCCAGGCCGCAGUCCACAGUAUGCAAGAUCAAACCGACACAAAAAAAAAGCCAACAGCUCCCCGUCCCUCUGCGGGUGGGAGACCCAGAGUACUGAAUGCAGGCGUCCGGGCAAUCGGCUUUAAUAGGGUCCGUUCGUGCUGGGCCCCGAGGGCCAAUUGUGUGCAUGAGGGUGCUUGCGUGCAUUCGUGUUGAGUCAGAGGGUCAGAGGGGCUUCAUAUGCUCCGUGACCCCGAAAGGAGAACGGGGAAUUUGUGGCAUGACCCCCCAGCCAGGAUAGUGCCCUCUAUUUGGACCUAAUCUGGUAGCAUCAGGGAUCAGUAUGGUGAGGAGAGGUGGCAGAAUGGACUAGGCAGAAUUGAGCAGAUCACCUCCCGCUGGAGGAUCUCUGGAGGGGGUGGAGACUCACUCUCAUUGCCCCACACACACCCGCUGACCUCUGCCCACACGGGCACCCUGCAUUCUUUUGCAUGUCUUAAGCACAGAUCAGCGUCACCAUGGGGUUGUGUGGUUAGAGGACUCACCGUGCGGUGCUGAGGCCAGACUCGGAGCCUGGCAAGCCGGGCGUUGCCACGGACAUGCGUCCUGCAGCCGUGGGCAUGGUGGAGAGGAUGAAGGCAGCUCUGCGGUCCGCUGAGAGAUGUGCACGGCCCAUGACGGAGCAUUCUGAAUUACUAACCCACGAACCGCACACGUUGGAGGACUGGAGCUUCUGGAAAGAACUGUGGGUUUGUGUGUGUGGGUAUUAAGACUGUUAAUUAUUAGCACUGUGCUCAGUUUUGUGAUUCCUUACUGGUUUAGUGAAGAGGUCGUCACACAUUUAUUAACAUGCACACCAGGCCAACGAAGAGGGAAAAAAUGAC